rnacentral:rRNA from 1 species
CGGGUGAGUAACACGUGGAUAAUCUACCUAUAAGACUGGGAUAACUUCGGGAAACCGGAGCUAAUACCGGAUAAUAUAUUGAACCGCAUGGUUCAAUGGUGAAAGACGGUUUUGCUGUCACUUAUAGAUGGAUCCGCGCCGCAUUAGCUAGUUGGUAAGGUAACGGCUUACCAAGGCAACGAUGCGUAGCCGACCUGAGAGGGUGAUCGGCCACACUGGAACUGAGACACGGUCCAGACUCCUACGGGAGGCAGCAGUG